rnacentral:rRNA from 1 species
GGGGGAUAUUGCACAAUGGGGGAAACCCUGAUGCAGCGACGCCGCGUGGAGGAAGAAGGUUUUCGGAUUGUAAACUCCUGUCGUUAGGGACGAUAAUGACGGUACCUAACAAGAAAGCACCGGCUAACUAUGUGCCAGCAGCCGCGGUAAAACGUAGGGUGCAAGCGUUGUCCGGAAUUACUGGGUGUAAAGGGAGCGCAGGCGGACCGGCAAGUUGGAAGUGAAAACUAUGGGCUCAACCCAUAAAUUGCUUUCAAAACUGCUGGCCUUGAGUAGUGCAGAGGUAGGUGGAAUUCCCGGUGUAGCGGUGGAAUGCGUAGAUAUCGGGAGGAACACCAGUGGCGAAGGCGACCUACUGGGCACCAACUGACGCUGAGGCUCGAAAGCAUGGGUAGCAAACAGGAUUAGAUACCCUGGUAGUCCAUGCCGUAAACGAUGAUUACUAGGUGUUGGAGGAUUGACCCCUUCAGUGCCGCAGUUAACACAAUAAGUAAUCCACCUGGGGAGUACGACCGCAAGGUUGAAACUCAAAGGAAUUGACGGGGGCCCGCACAAGCAGUGGAGUAUGUGGUUUAAUUCGAAGCAACGCGAAGAACCUUACCAGGUCUUGACAUCCGAUGCAUAGUGCAGAGAUGCAUGAAGUCCUUCGGGACAUCGAGACAGGUGGUGCAUGGUUGUCGUCAGCUCGUGUCGUGAGAUGUUGGGUUAAGUCCCGCAACGAGCGCAACCCUUAUGGUCAGUUACUACGCAAGAGGACUCUGGCCAGACUGCCGUUGACAAAACGGAGGAAGGUGGGGAUGACGUCAAAUCAUCAUGCCCUUUAUGACUUGGGCUACACACGUACUACAAUGGCGUUAAACAAAGAGAAGCAAGACCGCGAGGUGGAGCAAAACUCAGAAACAACGUCCCAGUUCGGACUGCAGGCUGCAACUCGCCUGCACGAAGUCGGAAUUGCUAGUAAUCGCGGAUCAGCAUGCCACGGUGAAUACGUUCCCG